CCUCCAUCAAAACCACCUUACAUACGGUUUCCAAAAGGGUAGAGGCUUUCAGUUAACUUCUCUUAAACCAAUUAAAGGCAAGGACCUUGUGCAUAUGCUACUGAUAACGUCACCGCAGAUCAGGGUGUCUAAAUCUAUAUAUGUAGCAACUGCUGUGAAUACAGGGGGGGUAAAUAUUAACUAAAUCCAUCAAGUGAAGACCAACUAGACCAAAAUGGAGGGAGAAGAAUGCCUGAAAUUUAAGGAUGACUCUUUGCUAAUAAUUUCACUCUUAGAGACUGUUAGAGGAUUGGACUCAUUCUCUUUGGAAACAUUUCCAAUUUCUUGAAACUCUAGGUUAUGAGUUUUGGAUGGAGCACAAACAAUUUGACUCACUGUUAGCAAAAUCUAGAACAAAACAAAAACAUCUUGACAUGAACUUGUGUAUAUAUACCAGAAUGGGCUCAAAGACAAUUAUGUGAAGAGUGGUGAAGGCUUAUUUUCGUGUGUUUUUUUUUUUUUUUUUUUAGUUCACUAAGUGAGUUCACUAAGUUCCAGACCCUUGAAUCAACUCUUCAAAAUGCUUAAAGUGUGCUCUAUUACACUGCACAUCUAGAUGUAAUGCCUGGUUGGCAUGUUAUUCUACAUUCAGUAAACAUUUGAUGAAUUACUACUGCCACGAUCAGGAGAAAAUGUGCACAACUCUUUAAUGUACUAAGAUUUACUGCCUGAUUUCUGUUAGGAGUAAUAGGCCAAUGGCAAUGAGUUAACGGCAAUAAAAAUAAUUAAGACUUAAUUUAAAUAGAGUGCACUGCAGAAAUAUUGUACCACAUUUAGUGUCUGGUUAAACUGGAUUGUGGGUGGUUUGUUAGAAAGUGUGGCAUUUUGAGUUUAAAAAUCAUAUGCUUUCCAUAUGUUUUUCUUCCUCAUCAGCUAGUUGUAACAUACAUGAUUUAAUUAAUUAAUUAAUUCCUUACAUUUAUAUAGCGUUUUUCUAGGUACUCAAAUCGCUUUACAUUUGUCAGGGGGUAUUUCCUCGUCCACCAUCAGUGUGCAGCAUCCACCUGGAUGAUUUAGGCACAUAAAAGCCCCUAGUAUGUUUAAAUAGGCCCUAAAGCUCUUUUAUAAUGAUCCUGAUAUAAUUUUAAAGUAUAGAGAGGCAAUAAGCUUUACAAAAUACAAUGUGUUUCAGCUUCUGUUAUAACAAUACUGUUUAGGUACUUACAGUAUUUUAGGGUACUUCAUGUUAAACACAGACAAUUAAAUUAAUUUGCAGUGUUAUUGAGUCUGCCUUUGCUAAUCUGAUAAUGUGUGUUUGCAUAUCAAAUCUGCAGCAUCAAAGAUUGCAAACAAGAUUGUACUUUUUUUUUUGUAUUGUCUUUUAUAAUUUCUUUUGAAAUGCUCACUGGAACUUAUUUUGCAUGUGGCAAGGUAGUUGGAAGGUAUCGUUAGAUUUAAGCACAGUUAAAAAAUUAUUUGAUAUUACAAAGGACAAAUAAAGGGAAGAAAAAAAUCUUCCUGCAACACUGACAUUUGGAAUAGUUGUUCCUUGUGGUUUUACUACUGUACGUCAAUGAGAAAAUGUGAAUAGUAUUUUUAUAGACAGUUGAAUUGGCCAGAUAUAUUUGUAAAUAGCUGGGAAACUUAUGCUCUUUUUGAACUGAUUUUUUUUUCCAUUAUGUUUUGUUCACUUAUAUUGUGUGUGACCAGUUAUUCUUAUUUGAUGGCUGUAUAUAUCUGUAAUUUGAACAGCACAUAUUUGAUUUUGUAGAUCUUGCAGGUUCUUUUAGUACUUCGGUGUGUUUUUCCGUGACCGUAUGUAGCCCGGCUUGGUGCUUUUUGUGUUCUUUAACCUCUGCCCAUGUUCAAGAGGUAGGAGAUGUUUUCUUUCUGUCAGGUAUAGCCUCCCUCCAUCACCCCACAAUUUUCUCUUUGUACAGAAUCCAGCGUGGGGAAUCUGCAGCUGUGUGACAAUAGCAUUUCUAUCUCCCAGGAAUCUCUCUCAACUCCAGAUAAGCUUUUCCUGACUUUAGUCCUGGUCAUAUUGCUAGUGUCUAGUUCUUUCUGAAUAUGUAAUUCAUAUUUCCAUCUCUUGACAUCUGCAGCCAACCACACCGUGAGCUCAGGCUUAGUAAAGGGCUGCGAGUGCAAACACGGUGAAGAAUUAUGACAAAAGCCACAGUCACUGAACUCAACUUUCUCAAAAACAUCCGCCAUGGUGUUCCUUUAAGAGAUGGACUAAUUGUCUGGAGUGUUCAUUUGGCCACGUUGUUAUUGAGUGGUGGCGUCAAAACAAAACUCAGUUUUUGACACACAUCUUCAGCUCUGGUCACAGUAACUUUCUCCACCACAGCUUUCCCAUUCCCCAAAGCUAGAGCAUUUAAAUACUGUUUCACAGUUUUGUUACCUGAAUCUAUAUUUUUAAUUUAAUAUAAAUAAAUAAAUACAACACCUGA